rnacentral:rRNA from 1 species
UACGUAGGGUGCGAGCGUUGUCCGGAAUUAUUGGGCGUAAAGAGCUCGUAGGCGGUUUGUUGCGUCGGCUGUGAAAACCUGCGGCUUAACUGUGGGCUUGCAGUCGAUACGGGCAGACUUGAGUUCGGCAGGGGAGACUGGAAUUCCUGGUGUAGCGGUGAAAUGCGCAGAUAUCAGGAGGAACACCGGUGGCGAAGGCGGUUCUCUGGGCCUGUACUGACGCUGAGGAACGAAAGCGUGGGGAGCGAACAGG